GAUGAACGCUGGCGGCGUGCCUAAUACAUGCAAGUCGAGCGAACGGACGAGAAGCUUGCUUCUCUGAUGUUAGCGGCGGACGGGUGAGUAACACGUGGAUAACCUACCUAUAAGACUGGGAUAACUUCGGGAAACCGUAGCUAAUACCGGAUAAUAUUUUGAACCGCAUGGUUCAAAAGUGAAAGACGGUCUUGCUGUCACUUAUAGAUGGAUCCGCGCUGCAUUAGCUAGUUGGUAAGGUAACGGCUUACCAAGGCAACGAUGCAUAGCCGACCUGAGAGGGUGAUCGGCCACACUAGAGCUGAAACACGGUCCAGACUACUACGUGAGGCAGCAGAAGGGAAUCUUCCGCAAUAGGCGAAAGCCUGACGGAGCAACGCCGCGUGAGAGAUGAAAGUCUUCGGAUCGUAAAACUCUGUUAUUAGGGAAGAACAUAUGUGUAAGUAACUGUGCACAUCUUGACGGUACCUAAUCAGAAAGCAACGGCUAACUACGUG
rnacentral:rRNA from 1 species